UACGUAGACCACGAGCGUUAUCCGGAUUUAUUGGGCGUAAAGCGUGUGUAGGAGGUGCGAUGCGUCCCUGGUUAAAGCCCACUGCCUAACGGUGGAGAUGCCCGGGAUACGAUCGCGCUGGAGGAGGUGAGAGGUGCAUGGAACUCACGGUGUAGGGGUGAAAUCCGUUGAUAUCGUGGGGAACACCAAAGGCGAAGGCAGUGCACUGGUACCUUCCUGACUCUGAGACACGAAAGCGUGGGGAGCAAAAAGG
rnacentral:rRNA from 1 species